GGAUGAUGAUAACUACUCAAAGCUGGAAUUACCGUCAGAGUGAACAGUGUUGAGUAUUGGUUCUCUGAUC